UGGGGAAUUUUCCGCAAUGGGCGAAAGCCUGACGGAGCAACGCCGCGUGAGGGACGAAGGCCUCUGGGCUGUAAACCUCUUUUCUCAAGGAAGAAGAUAUGACGGUACUUGAGGAAUAAGCCACGGCUAAUUCCGUGCCAGCAGCCGCGGUAAUACGGGAGUGGCAAGCGUUAUCCGGAAUUAUUGGGCGUAAAGCGUCCGCAGGCGGCUUUUCAAGUCUGCUGUUAAAGCGUGGAGCUUAACUCCAUCAUGGCAGUGGAAACUGAAAGGCUUGAGUAUGGUAGGGGCAGAGGGAAUUCCCGGUGUAGCGGUGAAAUGCGUAGAUAUCGGGAAGAACACCAGUGGCGAAGGCGCUCUGCUGGGCCAUUACUGACGCUCAUGGACGAAAGCCAGGGGAGCGAAAGGGAUUAGAUACCCCUGUAGUCCUGGCCGUAAACGAUGAACAAUAGGUGUCGGGGGAAUCGACCCCUUCGGUGUCGUAGCUAACGCGUUAAGUGUUCCGCCUGGGGAGUACGCACGCAAGUGUG
rnacentral:rRNA from 1 species